rnacentral:rRNA from 1 species
GAUGAACGCUGGCGGCGUGCCUAAUACAUGCAAGUCGAGCGAACAGACGAGGAGCUUGCUCCUCUGACGUUAGCGGCGGACGGGUGAGUAACACGUGGAUAACCUACCUAUAAGACUGGGAUAACUUCGGGAAACCGGAGCUAAUACCGGAUAAUAUAUUGAACCGCAUGGUUCAAUAGUGAAAGACGGUUUUGCUGUCACUUAUAGAUGGAUCCGCGCCGCAUUAGCUAGUUGGUAAGGUAACGGCUUACCAAGGCAACGAUGCGUAGCCGACCUGAGAGGGUGAUCGGCCACCCUGGAACUGAGACACGGUCCAGACUCCUACGGGAGGCAGCAGUAGGGAAUCUUCCGCAAUGGGCGAAAGCCUGACGGAGCAACGCCGCGUGAGUGAUGAAGGUCUUCGGAUCGUAAAACUCUGUUAUUAGGGAAGAACAAAUGUGUAAGUAACUAUGCACAUCUUGACGGUACCUAAUCAGAAAGCCACGGCUAACUACGUG